UUUGUGAAGUGGAAUAAAGGAAAAAAUCUUGUGCCGGGGAGUUGAAACAGCGGUGGGAAUCCUCAAAAAUUAACCCCAUUUGGUUGAAGGUUUUCAGUAUUGAAUUGAGUUUCAAAUAAGGAUGGUGUCCAUGGAAGUGAAACCAAACCAGAUGGACGGUCUGGUCCAGACGUAAAGUUUCAUGAGAAGUCACUCCAAGUGGAGAAUGGCCUACGGCCCAACUUUAACUCUUUAGAAAACUUUUUUUUUGUAAAUUUAUAUUCUUUAAUUAUUAAUUUAAUUAAUUAAUUUAAUUAUUUUGUUCAUGUUGUUAAUCAUUUCUAACGUCAAGCAUAUUAAAAAAAAAUUGAAAGAAGAAUUGUAAUACAAAAAAAAAAGAUUUCAUAAAUUUUUGGACGAUUAAGUUUCGGGAAACUUAGUUCGGGGUUUAAUUAGCAGAUACCAAUUUGUAAUUAUCUUUUUUUUUCUUUCGCGCGGUUGUUUUGAAGAUAAAGUUAAAUUUAAAGUUAAAGUACAGAUUUUUCUCGAUCUUAAAUUUCAUAGUCAUUGUUCGAUAUCAAGGUAGAAAGUGGGGCUGGCUGAAUGCAGCUCCUGGAAUCGUCGUGACCUGGAACUGAAUCCAGCGGGCGGCGAAUUCCAGGAUGACUUGCAUUUAGCUGUGAGAGAAGAGCGAGUAAGCGGGAUCGCGAGAAUUUCAUCACAAGUUGAGAUCAACAUGCCGAUCUCCGAUUGGCUGUUGAUGAUGUGAUUGAAAUCCGCCACUCCAUAUUGGCUGAAAGCUAAAAUGGCGGGAGAGGUAAAGAAGAGAUAGGACAGAUCUUGAGAUCUGGCCGUCAAUUCUUGUCAAACUUUCAAGGAGUGCAGAUAACAAAAUUUUUUGAGAAAUUCGAACAAAGAGUGUGAAAAAAAAAGAUUGAGAAAAAUUACAAAAAAAAGUGUCGGGACUGAGGAAAAAUAAAGAAGGAAAAGGAAGUUAGUUGCUAGUUUGGGAUUUUCAAAAAAAAAGAUAAGUACAAAUUUCAUCGGUUCGGUAUAAAAUCGUUUUGACAUUUAAUUUUUUUUUAUUCUUUUUUAAUCCCCAAUUUAUUGAUGGGAAUUUAGACCUUAACGGUCCAUAAUUUAUGAAAUCUUUUGUUUAAUUGUUGGAAAAGAUCCUGAGUUUUCAUCCUGCUUUUGCAAGGUUUCUCAGGCCUAUUUAACUUAAUAAACAUAUCUUAAAAAGAU